rnacentral:lncRNA from 1 species
CCCCAGGUGAGCACAGUCACCACCAGCUGCUGCCAGGCUCUAACAGAGAUUGGUGCCCAUGAGCAGCACCUGGGGAUGGGGCCAUCCUGGGGAUAAAUUAGCCUUCUUCUGCAGAUAACAUGUAGCUAUGAGGUUUAGCUUUGUGUGGCUCCUCUUGAAGCCUUGUAUUUGUAGGGGUAGUUAUUCCUUCUCUGGUCCCUGGCUGGGUUAUGUCCUUCUUGCUGAGCUGCUACCUGGAGGAUAGCAUCACACAGAGCAGUAAAUCACUGCACAGCCUCAAACUGUGUUCCCUGUGGGAGGCAUCACCCUGAGGAUGUAGUGGCUUUGAGCACUGAGCAUCCUCCACCUGUGGGCACAGCGCAUGCAGAAGUGUUCCUGCUGUGCUGUCUGAGGUGCAGACCCACCGAGCCCAGCGGUGCCAUGGGGACUCGGCCAAGGUUCUGUCCUCAUGCUUGGGAUGCAGGAGCAGGACAGCCAAGCCCUUGGAAAUGACAACUUGGAGGCUUUUGGGGCUCACCUUUCUCUUAGGGAGCUGCCAAGGAGAGGGCUUUGUGCAGAGUUGUGCCGGUGUGACAUUCAUGCCUCUGAGCUCGUGUUGUCUUCCUGCAGUAAUCCCCGCUCUGUGUUCCACUGGGCUCUCCCAGACAUCUCUUUGUUACCAUGUGUUGGGGAAUAGCAUUGCAGCAUCAAAGGCACCAGCCCUGAAUUUGGGUGUUAAGAAACACCUCCUCGCAGGUUUGUAUAAGUACUUAUCUUCUCUUUAGAAGAUAAUCGAAGACAAAUGUGUGUAAGGACGUAAGCUUAACAAAUGGGGCUGCCUCCUGAAAAUGUGAAUGCCCAUGAAAUAGAUACGGACGUGAGAGAAGCGCGGCUCCACGCAGCAUCCCCGGUGCCUGCAGGGAGCAGAGACUCCAGGAAGGUCACUGAGACCGUGAAUUCAGCUAAAAUCAACGUUUCUCCACCAUCGAUAUUCAUACAGGCCAGACAAAGCAUUUCAUUUUGUAGCUGCUCGUAAAUCAGGCAGAGAAGAAGAGGAAGAAAUGAAGAGGGAAAGAGAAGGAUAUAAAAGAAGGGAUAGCUGGGGGAUGAGUGGAAGACGAGAGGAGGCUCUGUUCAUUCGGGCUCACAUCUGCUCCGUCUGAAGUGGAACCACCUGUUAGUUUAUUAAAUUGCACAAUUAAUUUAUGUGGAGGGAAGGGGAGACUGCAGCUCAUCAGCGAUCUCCUGUUUCACCCCCAACCUGGAGCCCAGCACACCACGGGGCCCUUGUUCCUAUUGGAGCGUUCCCAGCACCUCCCUCAAGGCACUUGGUGCCCCAGGGUGUGCUGGUGGACGGUGCGCUCCCAGUGCUGAGCCCUGUCCUGGGGAGAGACCUCUGCCCCUAAAACAUCCCCAAAUGGUCCCCAAAAGGCUCCACGGUGAACAGCACCAUGAUGGUAGGGAUAAGGCUUCUCCAUUGCCUCUGGCAGCACCACCGUGGUGCUCACCCGUGUCCAAACACUUUGAGUUUUUCAUUACCAAAGACAAUAAACGCUCUAAAUAAUGUGUUUCAGAUGUCUAUUUCGGAAGGUGUCCUAGCAGCUCUACCCUGUGAGCCCCUAACAUAGGCCGGUCCACAGUGAUGCACGCCUUCCCGGCUCACACAGCCACGCUCCAAUUAUGUGAAAUGCUCUCCAGAUUUGGUUCCCAUUAUUGUCUUCCUUUGGCAUGACUGACUGGAGCACUCGAAUUGGAAAGGUCCCAGAAUCUUCAGCCUCCUAAAAUAUUUUCAAUAACGUUGAGAGCAAUUUUCCUCCGAGCGUGUAAGGAUUUCAGCGGAGGAGCCAACUUUCCCAGAGGAAUGAUCCAAUUACGGGGACUGGAUGCUCCUGUCAAUCUCUCCCUCAGGGACGUGGAAAAUCAAAAUUAUGAUUUAUUUUUUUAAUGUGACAGUGAGCGUAAAGGCAGGAAUCUAAACCAUACCGUUAUCUCCCCAGGCACUCCCGCUCCUCUGCCUGAUACUGUUAGCUAAAAAUACCGACUCAUUUCAGGCAGAACCUCCUUAAAUUCUGCCCUAAUGACAGCGCCGGCAGGGCCCAGCCUUCGGUACGGUGCUGAAUUAUGACUGUUUAAUGGUGACCUUUGCAUGUAAAAAUUGAGUCGGAACGACUUCUGCUUGCGCUAAUGCAAUGAGAGAAAUGUGGUUCCGAGAGAGGGGUUUGCAGUCAAUGACAAAGGAAGGGAAAGGAAGCAGCAGUCCCCCAAAAACCAAAAAUAGCUUCCUGGGGUCAGAGCAGAGGAGCC